rnacentral:rRNA from 1 species
ACACUCCUGCGGGAGGCAGCAGUGGGGAAUAUUGGACAAUGGGCGCAAGCCUGAUCCAGCCAUGCCGCGUGAGUGAUGAAGGCCCUAGGGUUGUAAAGCUCUUUCACCGGUGAAGAUAAUGACGGUAACCGGAGAAGAAGCCCCGGCUAACUUCGUGCCAGCAGCCGCGGUAAUACGAAGGGGGCUAGCGUUGUUCGGAUUUACUGGGCGUAAAGCGCACGUAGGCGGACUAUUAAGUCAGGGGUGAAAUCCCGGGGCUCAACCCCGGAACUGCCUUUGAUACUGGUAGUCUUGAGUUCGAGAGAGGUGAGUGGAAUUCCGAGUGUAGAGGUGAAAUUCGUAGAUAUUCGGAGGAACACCAGUGGCGAAGGCGGCUCACUGGCUCGAUACUGACGCUGAGUUGCGAAAGCGUGGGGAGCAAACAGUAUUAGAAACCCUGGUAGUCCCA